rnacentral:rRNA from 1 species
GAUGUACGCUGGCGGCGUGCCUAAUACAUGCAAGUCGAGCGAAUGGAUUAAGAGCUUGCUCUUAUGAAGUUAGCGGCGGACGGGUGAGUAACACGUGGGUAACCUGCCCAUAAGACUGGGAUAACUCCGGGAAACCGGGGCUAAUACCGGAUAACAUUUUGAACCGCAUGGUUCGAAAUUGAAAGGCGGCUUCGGCUGUCACUUAUGGAUGGACCCGCGUCGCAUUAGCUAGUUGGUGAGGUAACGGCCCACCAAGGCAACGAUGCGUAGCCGACCUUAGAGGGUGAUCGGCCACACUGGGACUGAGACACGGCCCAGACUCCUACGGGAGGCAGCAGUAGGGAAUCUUCCGCAAUGGACGAAAGUCUGACGGAGCAACGCCGCGUGAGUGAUGAAGGCUUUCGGGUCGUAAAACUCUGUUGUUAGGGAAGAACAAGUGCUAGUUGAAUAAGCUGGCACCUUGACGGUACCUAACCAGAAAGCCACGGCUAACUACGUGCCAGCCGCCACGGUAA